CGGCGGCCCGAGUGGUAAUCACUUUUAUUGGGUCUAAAGGGUCCGUAGCCGGUUUGAUCAGUUCUUCGGGAAAUCUGACAGCUCAACUGUUAGGCUUCCGGGGAAUACUGUCAGACUUGGGACCGGGAGAGGUAAGAGGUACUACAGGGGUAGGAGUGAAAUCUUGUAAUCCCUGUGGGACCACCAGUGGCGAAGGCGUCUUACCAGAACGGGUCCGACGGUGAGGGACGAAAGCUGGGGGCACGAACCGGAUUAGAUACCCGAGUAGUCC
rnacentral:rRNA from 1 species